rnacentral:rRNA from 1 species
UGCCCCAUACUGCAAGUCGAACGCGUUGGCCCAAUUGAUUGAUGGUGCUUGCACCUGAUUGAUUUUGGUCGCCAACGAGUGGCGGACGGGUGAGUAACACGUAGGUAACCUGCCCAGAAGCGGGGGACAACAUUUGGAAACAGAUGCUAAUACCGCAUAACAGCGUUGUUCGCAUGAACAACGCUUAAAAGAUGGCUUCUCGCUAUCACUUCUGGAUGGACCUGCGGUGCAUUAGCUUGUUGGUGGGGUAAUGGCCUACCAAGGCGAUGAUGCAUAGCCGAGUUGAGAGACUGAUCGGCCACAAUGGGACUGAGACACGGCCCAUACUCCUACGGGAGGCAGCAGUAGGGAAUCUUCCACAAUGGGCGCAAGCCUGAUGGAGCAACACCGCGUGAGUGAAGAAGGGUUUCGGCUCGUAAAGCUCUGUUGUUAAAGAAGAACACGUAUGAGAGUAACUGUUCAUACGUUGACGGUAUUUAACCAGAAAGUCACGGCUAACUACGUGCCAGCAGCCGCGGUAAUACGUAGGUGGCAAGCGUUAUCCGGAUUUAUUGGGCGUAAAGAGAGUGCAGGCGGUUUUCUAAGUCUGAUGUGAAAGCCUUCGGCUUAACCGGAGAAGUGCAUCGGAAACUGGAUAACUUGAGUGCAGAAGAGGGUAGUGGAACUCCAUGUGUAGCGGUGGAAUGCGUAGAUAUAUGGAAGAACACCAGUGGCGAAGGCGGCUACCUGGUCUGCAACUGACGCUGAGACUCGAAAGCAUGGGUAGCGAACAGGAUUAGAUACCCUGGUAGUCCAUGCCGUAAACGAUGAGUGCUAGGUGUUGGAGGGUUUCCGCCCUUCAGUGCCGGAGCUAACGCAUUAAGCACUCCGCCUGGGGAGUACGACCGCAAGGUUGAAACUCAAAGGAAUUGACGGGGGCCCGCACAAGCGGUGGAGCAUGUGGUUUAAUUCGAAGCUACGCGAAGAACCUUACCAGGUCUUGACAUCUUGCGCCAACCCUAGAGAUAGGGCGUUUCCUUCGGGAACGCAAUGACAGGUGGUGCAUGGUCGUCGUCAGCUCGUGUCGUGAGAUGUUGGGUUAAGUCCCGCAACGAGCGCAACCCUUGUUACUAGUUGCCAGCAUUAAGUUGGGCACUCUAGUGAGACUGCCGGUGACAAACCGGAGGAAGGUGGGGACGACGUCAGAUCAUCAUGCCCCUUAUGACCUGGGCUACACACGUGCUACAAUGGACGGUACAACGAGUCGCGAACUCGCGAGGGCAAGCAAAUCUCUUAAAACCGUUCUCAGUUCGGACUGCAGGCUGCAACUCGCCUGCACGAAGUCGGAAUCGCUAGUAAUCGCGGAUCAGCAUGCCGCGGUGAAUACGUUCCCGGGCCUUGUACACACCGCCCGUCACACCAUGAGAGUUUGUAACACCCAAAGUCGGUGGGGUAACCUUUUAGGAGCCAGCCGCAUAAGGUGACCU